rnacentral:rRNA from 1 species
CCCUUAGAUGUCCGGGGCCGCACGCGCGCUACACUGAAGGAAUCAGCGUGGCUUUCUCCCUGACCCGAAAGGGUUGGGAAACCCGUUGAAUCUCCUUCGUGAUAGGGAUUGGGGCUUGAAAUUGUUCCCCAUGAACGAGGAAUUCCCAGUAAGCGCGAGUCAUAAGCUCGCGUUGAUUACGUCCCUGCCCUUUGUACACACCGCCCGUCGCUACUACCGAUUGAACGGUUUAGUGAGGUAUUUGGAUCGGACCUGAAGGGGUUCACGCCCUUUCUGUGUCUGAGAAGACUCCCAAACUUGAGCGUUUAGAGGAAGUAAAAGUCGUAACA